rnacentral:rRNA from 1 species
UACGAAGGGGGCUAGCGUUGCUCGGAAUCACUGGGCGUAAAGCGCACGUAGGCGGACUCUUAAGUCGGUGGUGAAAUCCUGGAGCUCAACUCCAGAACUGCCUUUGAUACUGAAGAUCUUGAGUUCGGGAGAGGUGAGUGGAACUGCGAGUGUAGAGGUGAAAUUCGUAGAUAUUCGCAAGAACACCAGUGGCGAAGGCGGCUCACUGGCCCGGUACUGACGCUGAGGUGCGAAAGCGUGGGGAGCAAACAGG